GGGUCUGUGGUUUAGUGGUAUAAUACUCCCUUAGCAUGGGAGUGGUCCGGGGUUCGGUAAGAUUCACUGUUCGGUCCCAACUAUUCGCUCCACCUUCUAACAGUACUAGAUUCCCCGCGGAUCCA
rnacentral:tRNA from 1 species